AGGACUAACGCUGGCUGCGUGCCUAACACAUGCAAGUCGAGCGGGGUAGCAAUACCCAGCGGCAGACGGGUGAGUAACGCGUGGUCAACCUUCCGUUGAAUGGGGGAUAACUAGCCGAAAGGUUAGCUAAUACCGCAUACGAUCUUUUGAAGGCAUCUUUAAAAAGAUGAAAGGAGCAAUUCGUUCAACGACGGGACCGCGUCCCAUUAGCUAGAUGGUUGGGUAAUGGCCUACCAUGGCAACGAUGGGUAGCUGGUUUGAGAGAGCGACCAGCCACACUGGGGACUGAGAAACGGCCCAGACUCCUACGGGAGGCAGCAGUGAGGAAUUUUCCGCAAUGGGCGAAAGCCUGACGGAGCGACGCCGCGUGUGGGAAGAAGGCCUUCGGGUCGUAAACCACUGUCGAAGGGGACGAGUAAUGACGGUACCCUUGGAGGAAGCCCCGGCUAACUACGUGCCAGCAGCCGC
rnacentral:rRNA from 1 species